UAAUUGUCAGCUAAGUGGCGCACGGGUGAGUAAUGUAUAGAUAACCUGCCCUUAAGAAAGGAAUAACAGUUGGAAACGACUGCUAAUGCCCUAUAUGCCUUUAAUACAUAAGUAUGCAAGGGAAACGCUUUAGUGCUUAAGGAUGGGUCUGUAUGGUAUCAGCUUGUUGGUGAGGUAAUGGCUCACCAAGGCUAUGACGCCUAACUGGUUUGAGAGGAUGAUCAGUCACACUGGAACUGAGACACGGUCCAGACUCCUACGGGAGGCAGCAGUGGGGAAUAUUGCACAAUGGACGAAAGUCUGAUGCAGCAACGCCGCGUGGAGGAUGACACAUUUCGGUGCGUAAACUCCUUUUAUAUAGGAAGAUAAUGACGGUACUAUAUGAAUAAGCACCGGCUAACUCCGUGCCAGCAGCCGCGGUAAUACGGAGGGUGCAAGCGUUACUCGGAAUCACUGGGCGUAAAGAGCGUGUAGGCGGGUAUAUAAGUCAGAAGUGAAAUCCAAUAGCUCAACUAUUGAACUGCUUUUGAAACUGUAUACCUAGAAUGUGGGAGAGGUAGAUGGAAUUUCUGGUGUAGGGGUAAAAUCCGUAGAGAUCAGAAGGAAUACCGAUUGCGAAGGCGAUCUACUGGAACAUUAUUGACGCUGAGACGCGAAAGCGUGGGGGAGCAACAGGAUUAGAUACCCUGGUAGUCCACGCCCUAAACGAUGUACACUAGUUGUUGUGAGGCUCGACCUUGCAGUAAUGCAGUUAACACAUUAAGUGUACCGCCUGGGGAGUACGGUCGCAAGAUUAAAAC
rnacentral:rRNA from 1 species